UUGGAGGGCAAGUCUGGUGCCAGCAGCCGCGGUAAUUCCAGCUCCAAUAGCGUAUGUUAAAGUUGUUGCAGUUAAAAAGCUCGUAGUUGAAUUUCGGGAUUCAUCCGUUGGUCGGGCUUCACGGUCCGUACUGGUGUGAUGGGUUCCUACCUUCUGAAUAACCGGCAUGCCAUUAAUUUGGUGCGCCGGGGAAGCAGAACUAUUACCUUGAAAAAAUUAGAGUGCUUAAAGCAGGCAAGUGCCUGAAUAGGUUAGCAUGGAAUAAUAAAAUAGGACGGCAUGGUUCUAUUUUGUUGGUUUCUAGGAUCACCGUAAUGAUUAAUAGGGAUAGUUGGGGGCAUUAGUAUUCAAUUGUCAGAGGUGAAAUUCUUGGAUUUAUUGAAGACUAACUUCUGCGAAAGCAUUUGCCAAGGAUGUUUUCAUUAAUCAAGAACGAAAGUUAGGGGAUCGAAGACGAUCAGAUACCGUCGUAGUCUUAACCAUAAACUAUGCCGACUAGGGAUCGGACGAUGUUAAUUUUUUAAUGACUCGUUCGGCGCCUUACGGGAAAC
rnacentral:rRNA from 1 species